GAUUUCUGGCUUGAAACAUUUUGCCGGCCACGGUUUCGUGUGUUAGUGCUUGAUGUUCUGGCCAUCCUUCCAAUUGCUGCACGCUUGAUCUUCAUUGAUUUUGUGUUGUAGUAUUGGAUCUUUUACUUUGAAAAAAUUAGAGUGUUUCAAGCAGGCUUUAUGCUAUGAAUACAUUAGCAUGGAAUAAUAAUUUAGGACUUCGGUUCUAUUUUGUUGGUUUCUAGGACUGAAGUAAUGAUUGAUAGGGAUAGUUGGGGGUGCUAGUAUUCAGCGGCCAGAGGUGAAAUUCUCGGAUUCGCUGAAGACUAACUUAUGCGAAAGCAUU
rnacentral:rRNA from 1 species